rnacentral:piRNA from 1 species
UCCAAACCAAUCGUGGUAACUGAAGUG